CCUACGGGAGGCAGCAGUGGGGAAUAUUGGGCAAUGGGCGCAAGCCUGACCCAGCAACGCCGCGUGAAGGAAGAAGGCUUUCGGGUUGUAAACUUCUUUUCUGGGGGACGAACAAAUGACGGUACCCCAGGAAUAAGCCACGGCUAACUACGUGCCAGCAGCCGCGGUAAUACGUAGGUGGCAAGCGUUAUCCGGGUUUAUUGGGUGUAAAGGGCGUGUAGGCGGGAAUGCAAGUCAGAUGUGAAAACUCAGGGCUCAACCAUGAUCCUGCAUUUGAAACUGUGUUUCGUGAGUGCUGGAGAGGCAAUCGGAAUGCGGGGUGUAGCGGUGAAAUGCGUAGAUAUACGGCAGAACACCAGUGGCGAAGGCGGAUUGCUGGACCGUAACUGACGUUGAGGCUCGAAAGCGUGGGGAGCAAACAGGAUUAGAUACCCCUGUAGUC
rnacentral:rRNA from 1 species